UGAGCAACCUGCCCCUGGCUCUGGGAUAACCCCGGGAAACCGGAGCUAAUACCGGAUACGAGACCGAUUGGCAUCUUUACGGUCUGGAAAGUUUUUCGGCCAGGGAUGGGCUCGCGGCCUAUCAGCUUGUUGGUGGGGUAACGGCCCACCAAGGCGACGACGGGUAGCCGCCUGAGAGGGUGACCGGCCACACUGGGACUGAGACACGGCCCAGACUCCGUACGGGAGGCA
rnacentral:rRNA from 1 species